GCAGAUUCAUUUUCUGCCACCGAAUACAUUAGCAUGGGAUAAUGGAAUAGGACCCUGUCCUCCUAUUUUCAGUUGGUUUUGGCAGCGCGAGGACUAGGGUAAUGAUUAAUAGGGAUAGUUGGGGGCAUUAAUAUUUAAUUGUCAGAGGUGAAAUUCUUGGAUUUAUGAAAGAUUAACUUCUGCGAAAGCAUCUGCCAAGGAUGUUUUCAUUAAUCAAGAACGAAAGUUAGGGGAUCGAAGACGAUCAGAUACCGUCGUAGUCUUAACCAUAAACGAUGCCGACCAGCGAUUAGGAGACGUUGAAUACAAAACACCACCACCGGCGCGGUCGUCCUUGGCGUUCGUG
rnacentral:rRNA from 1 species